UGUGGCUUCUCACAGUCCCAUCCUCCUGCUCCCCUUGGACAAAGGCCCCUAGCAAGCAAGAAGCUGAGAAAAUCUGCCUUUUCCUUCUCCCCCUUCGUUCAAAGACAAGAAAAAGAGCAGCAGCGUGAAUCUGAGAGGACCCACCGCCUCUGGUUCCAAAAGCUGGCCAAGUACGACUCCACUCUAUUGAAAAUGGAAAAUAAAAUCAUUUCUCCGAGA